rnacentral:rRNA from 1 species
CUACGGGUGGCUGCAGUGAGGAAUUUUGCGCAAUGGGGGAAACCCUGACGCAGCAACGCCGCGUGAGCGAAGAAGGCCCUCGGGUCGUAAAGCUCUGUCAAGUGGGAAAAAAAUCUUUUGAUCAAUAGUCAAAAGACUUGAUGGUACCACUGGAGGAAGCACCGGCUAACUCCGUGCCAGCAGCCGCGGUAAUACGGAGGGUGCAAGCGUUGUUCGGAUUUACUGGGCGUAAAGAGCGUGUAGGCGGUUUAGCAAGUCAGAUGUGAAAGCCCUGGGCUCAACCUGGGAAGUGCAUUUGAAACUGCUUCACUAGAGUAUGGGAGAGGAGAUUGGAAUUCCUGGUGUAGAGGUGAAAUUCGUAGAUAUCAGGAGGAACACCCGUGGCGAAGGCGACUCUCUGGACCAAUACUGACGCUGAGACGCGAAAGCGUGGGGAGCAAACAGGAUUAGAUACCCUCGUAGUC